rnacentral:rRNA from 1 species
AGGCAGCAGUGGGGAAUAUUGGACAAUGGGCGAAAGCCUGAUCCAGCCAUGCCGCGUGUGUGAAGAAGGCCUUCGGGUUGUAAAGCACUUUAAGCGAGGAGGAAGGUUCGUUACUUAAUACGUAACGGAAUUGACGUUACUCGCAGAAUAAGCACCGGCUAACUCUGUGCCAGCAGCCGCGGUAAUACAGAGGGUGCAAGCGUUAAUCGGAAUUACUGGGCGUAAAGCGCGCGUAGGCGGUUGUGUAAGUUGGAUGUGAAAUCCCCCGGGCUUAACCUGGGCACUGCAUUCAAAACUGCACGGCUAGAGUAUGGGAGAGGAAGGUAGAAUUCCAGGUGUAGCGGUGAAAUGCGUAGAGAUCUGGAGGAAUACCGAUGGCGAAGGCAGCCUUCUGGCCUAAUACUGACGCUGAGGUGCGAAAGCAUGGGGAGCAAACAGGAUUAGAUACCCUGGUAGUCCAUGCCGUAAACGAUGUCGACUAGGUGUUGGGGAACUUGAUUCCUUAGUGCCGCAGCUAACGCAUUAAGUCGACCGCCUGGGGAGUACGGUCGCAAGACUAAAACUCANAUGAAUUGACGGGGGC